UAUAUAAAUCUCAUUCCGAAUCAUUUGGUUAUCAAUUGUUACAAUCCUUUCUCAAGUUGAAUUCACUAUAUCGUAUACAGUGUCACCAUGAAAUUCAUUUCUAUCUAUUUUAUUCUAAUCCUGAUGGGCGUUCUAAUUUACCCAUCUUUGUGUCAAAGCCCCACAAUAUGCGAAGUAGAUGAAGAUUGUAAAAAUCCACCAAACAUUUGUUUUCAACCUAAUCCAUUCGGACCUGGUAUGUGUGCUUAAUCACCAAACUCUGGAUCAGAAACUGGACGAUGAUCUUAAAAUUCGAUUAUCCUGAAUUAUCGAUCUCAUUUAAGGUCUAUGUUAUAAGAAACUAACAUGAUUAUGCUAUUAUAUCUUUCGAUCUAAUAUGAAUAAAGAAAAGAUUAUACUUUAAAAA